CGUGGGAAUCUACCCAGUAGUGGGGGACGAACAGUUGGAACGACUGCUAAUACCGGAUACGCCCUAAGGGGAAAGGCAGGGGAGUCUUCGGACCUUGUGCUAUUGGAUGAGCCCGCGUGAGAUUAGAUAGUUGGUGGGGUAAUGGCCUACCAAGUCGACGAUCUCUAGCUGGUCUGAGAGGAUGAUCAGCCACACUGGAACUGAGACACGGUCCAGACUCCUACGGGAGGCAGCAGUGGGGAAUCUUGCACAAUGGAGGAAACUCUGAUGCAGCGAUGCCGCGUGAGUGAAGAAGGCCCU
rnacentral:rRNA from 1 species